rnacentral:rRNA from 1 species
AUGAGACGAGGCCCGCCGGCCGCCGCGAUGCCACCAACGUCCACCUCGCCGGGGGACCUAGUGGCGCUCUCCGCCCGGUGCUCCACGAAGCGCGACCUCCGCCUCCUCCACGGCGCUCUCCUGCGCCGCCGCCACCUCCUCCCCACCGCGGACGCCGUCGCGGCGCUCGCCAAGCUGCUCCGGUUCGCCGCCGUCUCCCCCGCCGGCGACCUCCGCCAAGCAGCCGCGAUGCUCUCCACCCACCUCCCCUUCAUCACCUCGGCCUCCUCCCACCCCGCCUUCUUCUACAACACCCUCAUGCGCGGCCUCGCCGCCUCCUCCUCGCCCAGCGACGCCAUCGGGCUCUUCGCCGCGAUGCGCCGCGCGGGCGCCGCGCCCGACGCCUUCACCUUCACCUUCGUCCUCAAGUCCUGCGCUCGCUGCCCCUCGGGCCGGCGAUUACCUUCCGACCUCCACGCCCAGGCGAUCAGGCACGGCUGCCUCGGCGCGCACACGCACGUGCACAAUGCGCUGCUUCACGCCUACGCGUGCCGGGCGGCCGUCGACGACGCGUGCAGGGUGUUUGAGGAAAUUCCGGUUCGGGACGUGGUUUCGUUCUCAGGGCUACUCACUGCGCAUCUCAAAGCCAGUGAUUUGGAUGCCGCCCGUGUUGUGUUCGACAAGAUGCCUCACCGGGAUGUCGUUUCUUGGACUGCGGUGAUUUCAGCAUAUGCCAAGGCUUGCCGGCCACAGGAGGCCCUGGCAUUGUUUGAUGCCAUGCCGAUGCAGCCAGACGAGGUGACCAUGGUGAGUAUCGUGUCUGCGUGCACCACGCUCGGGGAUCUUGCAACUGGGGAGCGCGUGCGGAGGCACAUUGAUUCCCUUGGUUUUGGAUGGAUGGUGUCACUUCACAACGCACUCAUGGACAUGUAUGCUAAGUGUGGUUCCCUCCCUGAAGCUCGAGCUUUGUUUGAUGGGAUGACGGUGAGGAGCUUGGCAUCUUGGAACACGCUGAUCUCGGCAUAUGCAUCACAUGGCGAUCUGGACAACACGAUUGCUGUGUUCUAUCAGUUGCUGGCAGAAGGGAACACUGUGAGGCCAGAUGGGGUGACGCUUCUUGCAGUGCUCAUGGCGUACACGCACAAGGGCUGUGUUGAGGAGGGGCGAGCCAUGUUCAAUGCGAUGCAGCGAGGCGACUUUGGCAAAGUGGAAUUCACAGUCGAACACUAUGGGUGUCUGGUGGACAUGCUUGGUCGGGCAGGGAAACUCGAGGAGGCAUACCAAAUGAUUGAGCAAAUGCCAAUUCCAAGCAAUGCUGUGAUCUGGGGCGUGCUACUUGGUGCUUGUCGGACUCAUGGGGAUAUUGACAUGGCAGAGCGGGCUGUGCAGGAGUUAAGGAACCUAAACCCAGAGGAAGGUGGGUACUACAUUUUGCUCAGUGAUAUGUACACAUCUGCUGGUCGGAUAGCAGAGGCCACGGAGAUUAGACGUGCCAUGAAUGAGAAGGGGGUCCAGAAGACUACAGGCCGGACCACUGCCUUUCUGCCUCAGCUGUAG